rnacentral:rRNA from 1 species
UACGAAGGGUGCAAGCGUUACUCGGAAUUACUGGGCGUAAAGCGUGCGUAGGUGGUCUGUUAAGUCUGAUGUGAAAGCCCUGGGCUCAACCUGGGGAAUUGCAUUGGAUACUGGCAGGCUAGAGUGCGGUAGAGGAUGGCGGAAUUCCCGGUGUAGCAGUGAAAUGCGCAGAUAUCGGGAGGAACACCAGUAGCGAAAGGCGGCUCGCUGGGCCAUUCCUGACGCUGAGACGCGAAAAGCUAGGGGGAGCGAACAGG